GCAAGGGGUGCUUAGAUGAGGAUUUUAAGUAUGAGAAGUAGUGUGUUUGGGGGGGUGGGGGUGGGGAUAGUCACGAUACCCCCCCUCCCUUCUAGUAAACACUAUUUUUGAAACAGUGGCAGGAAGGAUCUAAGUGAGCAGGAUUCGGUAUUGCUGGUUCUUUUAAAAAAAUUCUUCUUGGCUUAUAAGUCUUUUGUUCCAAUCCAGGAGAAAUACGGUGAAUCACCUAAUUAAAAUCAAGACAUGAAUUAAGCAUCCAUUUUUGUACUACAAAUUGCCAGCGUUACGUUUGUCCCUCCCUUGGUCUCCAUUAAAAAACACCAGAGACGUUGUUAAAGGGGGGCAGAUUUUGCCUCUAGCUGCCAGUUCUGCUUUCUAUUUCACUGACUAUCCCAGGACCUAAAUUGCUUGGCUAUGUAAUUACUAGAGUAUAAGCCUAUUUAACUUAAAAGCUUUCUUUUUUUUUUUUUUUUUUCCAACUCUAAAUGAAACUUGAUGAGGGCCCGUCCUUAGUUAUCAGGGGAGUCAGUUUCUGGUCAGUCUUCUUGAUUCAUCUCUUUUAGAUUUAAUCAGCAUUAAGGUAUUGCUUGUCCUUAAGAGCUUUAGCUAAUGGGGUUACUGGAUGCUUUUCUCAGUGUAAUGUUUCCUUUUCAAAAAAAAAAUACAUAUAUAUUUACCUCUCACUAAAGAUGGGGGCGGGGAAGAGCUUGGAAUCUCCUCCCUCACUCUCCUUUUAAAAAGGAAUUCGGAGCGAUUAAAACGUUGGGGGAAACAGUUUAAAGAUCUAGGGCAGGAAAUGCAGAUUCAUUUGGGUUAGGGCUGAAAUUGUAACAAAAAGCAAUUCCUCGAGUAAAUGCAUCAGAUAAAUCAAUUUACAUAAAGGUAUGAUGCAUUCGGAUAAAUGCAAUGCUAAUGGGUUUUAGAGUGGUCCUGUUUCCAAAGUCUCAGGGUUUUGUUACAGCUUAAUUGGUGCAGUUCUUAUUCUGGUUUAUUGUGCGGUCACUGGACACACGUUCCGGGACUCUUUCGGAGGAAAUGUGUUUAAAAUCGGCCUAUUUAAGGAACCCGAGUCCUUGUUUCGUUCCUUCCUCGUUUUUUUUGCAGCAGCCAAGUUGGGCCGGGUACAGGCAAAGUUCGCCUUCUUCUGAGGUAUCAGCUGAAUGUCUUGAGCAGAUAGCCGGGAGCCUCAGGGGGAGCCCACACUCUCAGCUUACAGAGGACAAAGACAAUACAGGCUGCUUAAUUGGCAGUAAAUAACUUGAUCUUUUUACAGAAUAAGUGACUAGAGGAACACUAGGACUUUAUUGGACUCGGGAUUGAAGGCAACAAAUUAAUCGGUUUAGGCUAAGCUUUAUAAAUUGAUUCCUAUAUUAUAUCCCAGUUGCAUCUCUUGUGGCAUUCAUUAGAGUGGGGAAUUCUUUUUUAAAGCAGUUUUUGGUGACAGCAGGACGGGCUCGAAUUUAACUUGUGCAUCCCUUAAUGGUGCCUUCUCGCACAUUAUCUGUAACGCCG
rnacentral:lncRNA from 1 species